GGCAACAUGGCCGAGUGGUUAAGGCGCUAGAUCCAGGUUGUGUACCACGUGACUUUCUAGUCCGUAACAGGGCGUGGGUUCGAGUCCCACUGUUGUCA